rnacentral:rRNA from 1 species
GACGUAGGGUGCGAGCGUUGUCCGGAAUUAUUGGGCGUAAAGAGCUUGUAGGCGGUUUGUCGCGUCUGCCGUGAAAAUUCGAGGCUCAACCUCGAACUUGCGGUGGGUACGGGCAGACUAGAGUUCGGCAGGGGAGACUGGAAUUCCUGGUGUAGCGGUGAAAUGCGCAGAUAUCAGGAGGAACACCGGUGGCGAAGGCGGGUCUCUGGGCCGAUACAUGACGCUGAGGAGCGAAAGCGUGGGGAGCGAACAGG